rnacentral:rRNA from 1 species
UACGUAGGGUGCGAGCGUUGUCCGGAAUUAUUGGGCGUAAAGAGCUUGUAGGCGGUCUGUCGCGUCUGCUGUGAAAAUCCGGGGCUCAACCCCGGACGUGCAGUGGGUACGGGCAGACUAGAGUGUGGUAGGGGAGACUGGAAUUCCUGGUGUAGCGGUGAAAUGCGCAGAUAUCAGGAGGAACACCGGUGGCGAAGGCGGGUCUCUGGGCCGAUACUGACGCUGAGGAGCGAAAGCGUGGGGAGCGAACAGG